AGUCGACGCGUUGGCCCAACUGAUUGAACGUGCUUGCACGGACUUGACGUUGGUUUACCAGCGAGUGGCGGACGGGUGAGUAACACGUAGGUAACCUGCCCCAAAGCGGGGGAUAACAUUUGGAAACAGAUGCUAAUACCGCAUAACAAUUUGAAUCGCAUGAUUCAAAUUUAAAAGAUGGCUUCGGCUAUCACUUUGGGAUGGACCUGCGGCGCAUUAGCUUGUUGGUAGGGUAACGGCCUACCAAGGCUGUGAUGCGUAGCCGAGUUGAGAGACUGAUCGGCCACAAUGGAACUGAGACACGGUCCAUACUCCUACGGGAGGCAGCAGUAGGGAAUCUUCCACAAUGGGCGCAAGCCUGAUGGAGCAACACCGCGUGAGUGAAGAAGGGUUUCGGCUCGUAAAGCUCUGUUGUUAGAGAAGAACGUGCGUGAGAGCAACUGUUCACGCAGUGACGGUAUCUAACCAGAAAGUCACGGCUAACUACGUG
rnacentral:rRNA from 2 species